rnacentral:rRNA from 1 species
UGGGGAAUAUUGGACAAUGGGCGAAAGCCUGAUCCAGCCAUGCCGCGUGUGUGAAGAAGGUCUUCGGAUUGUAAAGCACUUUAAGUUGGGAGGAAGGGCAGUAAGCUAAUACCUUGCUGUUUUGACGUUACCGACAGAGUAAGCACCGGCUAACUCUGUGCCAGCAGCCGCGGUAAUACAGAGGGUGCAAGCGUUAAUCGGAAUUACUGGGCGUAAAGCGCGCGUAGGUGGUUUGUUAAGUUGGAUGUGAAAGCCCCGGGCUCAACCUGGGAACUGCAUCCAAAACUGGCAGGCUAGAGUACGGUAGAGGGUGGUGGAAUUUCCUGUGUAGCGGUGAAAUGCGUAGAUAUAGGAAGGAACACCAGUGGCGAAGGCGACCACCUGGACUGAUACUGACACUGAGGUGCGAAAGCGUGGGGAGCAAACA